GGUUAUGUAGUGUAAAAAACACAUUGAAUUGCAAAUUCAAUAUUACAGAUGUUGUCUUAACCU
rnacentral:tRNA from 1 species